rnacentral:rRNA from 1 species
AGAGUUUGAUCCUGGCUCAGGACGAACGCUGGCGGCGUGCCUAAUACAUGCAAGUAGAACGCUGAAGGAGGAGCUUGCUUCUCUGGAUGAGUUGCGAACGGGUGAGUAACGCGUAGGUAACCUGCCUGGUAGCGGGGGAUAACUAUUGGAAACGAUAGCUAAUACCGCAUAAGAGUAGAUGUUGCAUGACAUUUGCUUAAAAGGUGCACUUGCAUCACUACCAGAUGGACCUGCGUUGUAUUAGCUAGUUGGUGGGGUAACGGCUCACCAAGGCGACGAUACAUAGCCGACCUGAGAGGGUGAUCGGCCACACUGGGACUGAGACACGGCCCAGACUCCUACGGGAGGCAGCAGUAGGGAAUCUUCGGCAAUGGACGGAAGUCUGACCGAGCAACGCCGCGUGAGUGAAGAAGGUUUUCGGAUCGUAAAGCUCUGUUGUAAGAGAAGAACGAGUGUGAGAGUGGAAAGUUCACACUGUGACGGUAUCUUACCAGAAAGGGACGGCUAACUACGUGCCAGCAGCCGCGGUAAUACGUAGGUCCCGAGCGUUGUCCGGAUUUAUUGGGCGUAAAGCGAGCGCAGGCGGUUAGAUAAGUCUGAAGUUAAAGGCUGUGGCUUAACCAUAGUAGGCUUUGGAAACUGUUUAACUUGAGUGCAAGAGGGGAGAGUGGAAUUCCAUGUGUAGCGGUGAAAUGCGUAGAUAUAUGGAGGAACACCGGUGGCGAAAGCGGCUCUCUGGCUUGUAACUGACGCUGAGGCUCGAAAGCGUGGGGAGCAAACAGGAUUAGAUACCCUGGUAGUCCACGCUGUAAACGAUGAGUGCUAGGUGUUAGACCCUUUCCGGGGUUUAGUGCCGUAGCUAACGCAUUAAGCACUCCGCCUGGGGAGUACGACCGCAAGGUUGAAACUCAAAGGAAUUGACGGGGGCCCGCACAAGCGGUGGAGCAUGUGGUUUAAUUCGAAGCAACGCGAAGAACCUUACCAGGUCUUGACAUCCCUCUGACCGCUCUAGAGAUAGAGUUUUCCUUCGGGACAGAGGUGACAGGUGGUGCAUGGUUGUCGUCAGCUCGUGUCGUGAGAUGUUGGGUUAAGUCCCGCAACGAGCGCAACCCCUAUUGUUAGUUGCCAUCAUUUAGUUGGGCACUCUAGCGAGACUGCCGGUAANUAGUCCAGUUUGGCGAUGAUUUCCUUGUGUGUAUCCUUAUUGAUGAUGUCUAAAAUCUGGAUAUUAGGGUCUUUAAUGUCUAGUAAUUUUGUGAUAAAAUGUAAUUGUUUCAUAUGAUUCUUUCUAAUGAGUUGUUUUGUCGCUUUUCAUUAUAGGUCAUAUGGGACUUUUUUUCUACACAAAAUAGGCUCCAUAAUAUCUAUAGUGGAUUUACCCACUACAAAUAUUAUAGAACCACAAAAAACUCUCUUAGUGUGAAUAUGUACUAAGAGAGUUUUUUGUAUAUAAAUUAUCUUCUACAACAAAUUAGAAAGGUAUUUAGCCUUUUCUUUUGAUAUGCCAAAAUUAAGAUUACGAUGACGUUGGAAUAAGGUAUAAAAAGUAAUGAAUGAUAGAAAAUUAUUUAGUAGGUAACUAAUCGGACUUUCUCCGACUGCAGUUAGCUCAACUUUUCGUUUAUCCCCUAAAUCUGAUAUAGUAACUAAGACUUGCCAACAUGUAUAUCUACUUAAACCUGGGUGCUUCAUGUAAUCAAAAAAAUUUCCCUGUCCAGAGUAUGAAAUUUCUUCAGAACUUUGCCGUUCAACACUACCGUUCAAUUGUUUUGUAGCAUUAUACAGUAUUUCUUCUAUCUCAAACUUACUUAAUUCACUAUAAAUUUGAUUUGAUUGUAAAUUAAAUUUUGUCAUUGUAGUAUUCUCCUUUUUGAUUAGUAUUUUUCCAGCUCUCUUUCUAAUUCGAGCUCCUUAAUUCUAUCUUGUAAUAUUGUGUUUGAAUGAUGUAAGCUAUAAAUUUGGUCUUGCAUUCUUUUAGAAUUGUAUUCAUUUGAAUAAUAGUGAAUAGCUUGUUGCAAAUUUGAUGCAAUAUCAGCGUUUAAAAAAUAUUGUAUACCUGAAAUAUGAUUAUAUGUUCUAAAUUCAGUUGGAAUGGAGUAGUACUCUUUUCGCAAAGUAGAUAAUAAUUUUUUCUUUUCUUCCCUAUAUUUUUCUUGAGUCGCAUUUAUUAUUUUAUCGUAUUUUAUUUUUUCUUUAACAAUUCUGAUUUUAUCUGCUACAUAUAGUACUGUAGAUAAAAUCCAAAUGAACAUGAUAAUUUCUGAAGUGUAAAAAAAUAGUGAUACAAUGAACAAGAAAAGAACAAUAGCACCGUAUAUUCGUUUUUUUGUAGUUUCAAAUUUUUCUUUAUGAAGAUUAAAUUCAAGUUCAUUAUAAUAUUCAUCAAAUUUAGAAAUUUUAUCUAUUUCUUCUUCUGCAAUUUUAAGAGUUCGAUGUGCUAACUCUUUGGUAGUUGGUCUAGGAACUGUUUUCUUUUCUUCAAGUUGUUGGGUAGGCAAUUCACUAUUAUCAUCAUACAUUGAUUGAAGGUAGGUUAGAAUAGCAAGCCCUCUAGUAUAAAUAAUUUGAUUACUAAUUCUUACAUAUUCCUCAAAAUCAUCAAUUUCAGAUAAUCGAAUUAAAUAUCCUUCAUCAUCAAAAAAUACAGUUAAGAAGUUAUCGGAUAGAAAUGUUUCAAAAUCUUUAAAUUGGUCAAAAUAUUCCUUUUCAUCUAAAAUUGCUCUUUUAAACUCAUCAUCUGGAGUCAAUGUGCCAUCAUAUAAGUCCCAUAUUACUGAUAGAGUAAGGUCAAAAUAAUCAUUAUAAGGAGACUGUGCUCUUUUAGGAUUUAUUCUUCCUUUUGGAAAAAUUCCAAAAUUUCCUAUUUGAUAAUUAUUACAAAUCUGAUAAACGUUUUUUUCUUUAUUGUCAAGCUCAAAUUCGAAAGGAAAAUCAUCAUCAUAUUCAGUGUAUGAUUUUAUAAUAUUAAGAAUCUCGCGUUGCUUAUCUCUGGAUAACUUACUAUAUGAUUUUCCAUAAUAUUUUCGAAAAAUUGCUGUACGAUAUGUUAUAAGAGUGUCGCCACUAUGUACUUUGUCAUCAUACCAUUCGAAAAUGUCUUUAUAUAUU